rnacentral:rRNA from 1 species
UGGGAAUUUUGGACAAUUGGGCGAAAGCCUGAUCCAGCAAUGCCGCGUGUGUGAAGAAGGCCUUCGGGUUGUAAAGCACUUUUGUCCGGAAAGAAAUCCUUGGCUCUAAUACAGUCGGGGGAUGACGGUACCGGAAGAAUAAGCACCGGCUAACUACGUGCCAGCAGCCGCGGUAAUACGUAGGGUGCAAGCGUUAAUCGGAAUUACUGGGCGUAAAGCGUGCGCAGGCGGUUUGCUAAGACCGAUGUGAAAUCCCCGGGCUCAACCUGGGAACUGCAUUGGUGACUGGCAGGCUAGAGUAUGGCAGAGGGGGGUAGAAUUCCACGUGUAGCAGUGAAAUGCGUAGAGAUGUGGAGGAAUACCGAUGGCGAAGGCAGCCCCCUGGGCCAAUACUGACGCUCAUGCACGAAAGCGUGGGGAGCAAACAGGAUUAGAUACCCUGGUAGUCCACGCCCUAAACGAUGUCAACUAGUUGUUGGGGAUUCAUUUCCUUAGUAACGUAGCUAACGCGUGAAGUUGACCGCCUGGGGAGUACGGUCGCAAGAUUAAAACUCAAA